UGCAUAUCAAUAAGCGGAGGAAAAGAAACCAACAGGGAUUGCCCCAGUAGCGGCGAGUGAAGCGGCAAGAGCUCAGAUUUGAAAUCGUGUUUCGGCACGAGUUGUAGAGUGUAGGCGGGAGUCUCUGUGGAGCGCGGUGUCCAAGUCCCUUGGAACAGGGUGCCUGAGAGGGUGAGAGCCCCGUAGGGUGCUGCGCGAAGCUUUUGAGGCCCUGCUGACGAGUCGAGUUGUUUGGGAAUGCAGCUCCAAGCGGGUGGUAAAUUCCAUCUAAGGCUAAAUAUUGGCGAGAGACCGAUAGCGAACAAGUACUGUGAAGGAAAGAUGAAAAGCACUUUGAAAAGAGAGUGAAACAGCACGUGAAAUUGUUGAAAGGGAAGGGUAUUGGGCUCGACAUGGGGGGUGCGCACCGCUGUCUCUUGUAGGCGGCGCUCUGGGCGCCCUCUGGGCCAGCAUCGGUUCCUGCUGCGGGAGAAGGGGCUCCGGAAAGUGGCUCUUCGGAGUGUUAUAGCCGGGGCCAGAUGCCGCGUGUGGGGACCGAGGACUGCGGCUCUGUCUCGGA
rnacentral:rRNA from 1 species